rnacentral:rRNA from 1 species
UACGUAGGGUGCGAGCGUUAAUCGGAAUUACUGGGCGUAAAGCGUGCGCAGGCGGUCUGUUAAGACCGAUGUGAAAUCCCCGGGCUUAACCUGGGAACUGCAUUGGUGACUGGCAGGCUUUGAGUGUGGCAGAGGGAGGUAGAAUUCCACGUGUAGCAGUGAAAUGCGUAGAGAUGUGGAGGAAUACCAGUGGCGAAGGCGAUCACCUGGGGUUGUUCUGACGCUGAGGAGCGAAAGCUAGGGGAGCAAACGGG